rnacentral:rRNA from 1 species
UGGGGAAUCUUGCGCAAUGCGCGAAAGCGUGACGCAGCAACGCCGCGUGGGGGAAGACGGCCUUCGGGUUGUAAACCCCUUUCAGUUGGGACGAAGCUCUGCCGGUGAAUAGCCGGUUAGAGUGACGGUACCUUCAGAAGAAGCCCCGGCUAACUACGUGCCAGCAGCCGCGGUAAUACGUAGGGGGCAAGCGUUGUCCGGAAUCAUUGGGCGUAAAGAGCGUGUAGGCGGCUUGGUAAGUCCGCUGUGAAAGUCCAGGGCUCAACCCUGGAAAGCCGGUGGAAACUGUCAAGCUUGAGUCCGGAAGAGGCGAGUGGAAUUCCUGGUGUAGCGGUGAAAUGCGCAGAUAUCAGGAGGAACACCAAUGGCGAAGGCAGCUCGCUGGGACGGUACUGACGCUGAGACGCGAAAGCGUGGGGAGCAAACAGG